rnacentral:rRNA from 1 species
UGGGCAACCUGCCCCAGACUCAGGGAUAACCCCGGGAAACCGGGGCUAAUACCCGAUACUCCGGUCGAACCACAUGGCUCGAUCGGGAAAGCUCCGACGGUCUGGGAUGGGCCCGCGGCCUAUCAGCUUGUUGGUGGGGUAACGGCCUACCAAGGCGACGACGGGUAGCUGGUCUGAGAGGGCGACCGGCCACACUGGGACUGAGACACGGCCCAGACUCCGUACGGGAG